rnacentral:lncRNA from 1 species
AAUGAAAACAUUAGACACCCUCUCGUUCUCUUUCUGCUCCUCUCACAAUGCAGGCCCAUUCAGAACACAAUUGUGAUACUCCUGGACAGGACAUGAAAAAGGCACCGGAGCAGCUACGUGAACAGUAAUGACAUCUCAAAGGCCAACAGCACUGGCUAGAGAAUAAAGGCAUUUUAAAGGUCUAAGAACACUGAAUUGAAGAGCCAAGGAGAACCCUUGAUGGAUGAGGAAGGCAGAGCCCAGCAAAUGACAAGGCAUUUGUGACCACGUUUCCAAUGCCGGAGUGAGGUAGAACAAAAGCACUGAAGAGACAGGAGCUUCCGUUCCUGCCCUGGUGCCAGCCUGUCUUUCCUGUUUCCCAGGAAGCUCAGCUGACUACAAGCCUAUGGGGGUACAGCCCUCCUCUUAUUUCUGUUGCCUCUUGUUAGUUGAGAAAUGUUAGUCCCUCAAAUUGUUUUAGUCCCUCAAAUUGCCUUUAAGGAUAAUGGUAAUAAAAUGAUUUAAGCUAC